rnacentral:rRNA from 1 species
UACACUCCUACGGGAGGCAGCAGUGGGGAAUUUUGGACAAUGGGCGAAAGCCUGAUCCAGCAAUGCCGCGUGCAGGAUGAAGGCCUUCGGGUUGUAAACUGCUUUUGUACGGAACGAAAAAGCUCCUUCUAAUACAGGGGGCCCAUGACGGUACCGUAAGAAUAAGCACCGGCUAACUACGUGCCAGCAGCCGCGGUAAUACGUAGGGUGCGAGCGUUAAUCGGAAUUACUGGGCGUAAAGCGUGCGCAGGCGGUUAUGUAAGACAGAUGUGAAAUCCCCGGGCUCAACCUGGGAACUGCAUUUGUGACUGCAUGGCUAGAGUACGGUAGAGGGGGAUGGAAUUCCGCGUGUAGCAGUGAAAUGCGUAGAUAUGCGGAGGAACACCGAUGGCGAAGGCAAUCCCCUGGACCUGUACUGACGCUCAUGCACGAAAGCGUGGGGAGCAAACAGGAUUAGAAACCCCGGUAGUCCCAUGA